ACACGACUACAUUAGAUACCCCGGUAGUCCUAGCCGUAAACGAUACUCGCUAGGUGUCGGCCACGGUGCGACCGUUGUCGGUGCCGUAGGGAAGCCGUGAAGCGAGCCACCUGGGAAGUACGGCCGCAAGGCUGAAACUUAAAGGAAUUAGCGGGGGAGCACAACAACGGGUGGAGCUUGCGGUUUAAUUGGAUUCAACGCCGGAAAUCUUACCGGGACCGACAGCAACAUGAAGGCCAAGCUGAAGACUUUGCCGGAUUAGCUG
rnacentral:rRNA from 1 species